rnacentral:lncRNA from 1 species
UAAACUCAAAUAUUUUUGGCCUUGCUUUCUGAACCUUUUCUUGAUUUGUCCCCAGGUAACAAGUAUUCUGAUCUCAAUAUGAGCUGCUGGUAACUUUCUGCAAAUGUGCUGAAAUCCCUGUCCUUGCUGUUAGAAGUGGAUACAGCCUGGCUGUAAGGUUUGGAGGUAAAACUAUUACUGAGGUACCACCCCCAGGACUCGGCAGCUUCUGGAUUAUUUCACGUGAGUUAGAAGGAGGCAAAUGCAGUUCACCACUGACAAUCAUUUGAAAAUCAAGCAGAUCAAUGGCUUCUGAUCACAUUCCUGGGGAUACUUAAUCUAGAAGAGGCAAAAGGGAGUCUGCGUUAACCCCAUACCUGUGAAAAUGGAUAAGUAUCUUUACUUAAAAGAACUACCAACCUAUGUAGGAUAAAUAAAGUGUUUAUAUUAAAUUUACUUCA